UGUGUGGGUGGUUAAACCUGGCUCAUAUUUUUUCUUUAAAUCACAUGAUUCCUUAUAUAGGUGGUCCAAGGUCUUGCUGGAAAUAGACCUAAUAAAAUACACUGAACUGGAGCACAUCAGGCUGUGGUAGUGUGCAAACACACAUACACACAACCAAACACACACAAAAUAUCUUUGUUUUAUCCCACGACUAACACUUUAUGACCAUAAUUUGUCACCUGACUGCAAAUGAUCUUGAUUAGAUUAAAUCCGUUGCCUUACAUUAAAUCUUUUUGGAGCUGCUGACAUCAGGUUUGAUUAUAUCAAAUCCCAGUGAUGGAAAACUGACACACUGUCAUGAAAUGUGGUUAGGAAAGUCCCAAAUGAGAUUAGAGACUAUAAGUGAAAGUUUUAAUAACUUGAACACAGGAAACACAACAAAAAAAAAAGAAAAAACUGAAUGUGAACGCGGGGCAAAAGUGACCAGGACAAGAACUACUGGAAACUAAAGAAAUUAAAGACAAUUCUUGGAACAAGGGAGCAUGGAGCCAAUCCCAUUUACCCUGGACAGUUUACCAGUCCAUUGCAGGGCCAAACACACAGACAUCCACACGUAAUGUCUUAGUCACGUGCUCCUGUAUCUUAAAGGGACCACAGGUGUGUGUUGCAGUUCCUUUAAGGUUCAUUGACCCACCUCAAGGGAUGUCAUGAAAAUGGAAUGUACCCUUUCCCUGUAGUCAGGCUGCACUCAUGGCAUGUGCAAGGAGUAUGCACCUUUCACUGGAACAGCACUAACAGCCAUGUGCGGUACGCAGGAUUAUGGGGAUAUGUACAACAUACCUGGAUUUGGAUCUCACCAACUUCACCCUUACUUGCUCUCAUGUCUUGUUUAAGUUCAUCAGAACCUGUUGCCUGCAGCAGACCUAUAGAAAACAAUACACAUGAACGUGUUUAUCUUAAGGGUUCACAGAGCAUUCUACGAUUUUCUAUUUCCUGUGAGCCACCUGCAUACUCUUCCAUUCAUCCAUUUUCUAUGUUAGAUAGGACCCAUUUGUGGUCACUAUUUUGCUGGAGCCUGUUCAGUCUCAGUUGGACAAAGUUAGAGUUGCAAUAUUUGUCACACACCUAGAUGUUUGAAAUUUGUUCUCCACAUUUGACCCAUUCCCUGGGGAAGCGGUGAGUUGCAGACACAGGCGCGCACAGGAACCAUUUGGUGGUUUAACCACCCCAGUCCAACCCUUUUUAAUGCAGAGUGUCAAGCAGGGAGGCACUGGGUCCCAUUUUUACAGUCUUUGAAAUGACUCAGUGGGAUUUGAACCCACGAUCUGCCAAUCUCAGAGCAGACACUCUACCACAAGGCCACUGAGCUGGUAACAGAAAGUAAGGUGGUAACAGAAAGGAGGUGAACACCCUGGACAGUUUGUCAGUCCAUCACAGGGCAGCAGUAUGACAUAAAAACACUCACAUUUAGACCUAUGGGGACAAUCUUUGAGUUGGCAAUUAACCUGUGAAGCCUGGUUUUGGACCUCGGGGAGAAGCAGGAAUGCCAGUAGAAAAUCCACGUAUGAAGAGGCAGAACAUGAAAACUCCACCCAGAAAGGACCCAACCAGAAUCUGAACCAGGGCCUCCUAACUGUGAGACAAGAAAAUCAUGUGAUAUUAGCUUAUUUCUUCUAUGAACAUGUAGAGUUAUUGUUCAUACAUUGACCCAACAUUGUUUGCCAUUUUUUUACAUUAUUUACAAUAUUACUGUCAUGGUGCUCCCAGGUUUCUGUGGUCCUUCCUGAUUGGGCUCAGCUGACUGCAAUCUCCCAUCAACAUUUGACCACCAUUUACGAUGGGCCUCUCUCCAGUAUUCACUGCCAGGAUUUUCAUCUUUACCCUCAUCUUACGAGCCGACCUGGAUCCAAAUCUCCACCAUAACUACAGGUCUGAUCCCCACAAGAACCCUGCUUCUGGUCAUGCUACAUAUACCCACGCAACUCACCCCUGGGUUUUUCAUCCCGCGCCUCCUAUGACCCUCCUGGUCCUUCGUUCUACCUCAUCUUCCUGAGACAAGUUCCAGCUCCAGUCCACCACAUCCAGCUGCAACAGAAGCUCUGUUCCAACUUCAAGUAUUCAGAAAUUCACAGGACAAAAAAAAAAGUGUUAUCCACCUCUCAUACUGAUUUCUUUUAUCCUCCUGGGUCUGCCACACCUGACCCCGUCAUCAUGACAAAUGUUAGCUUGAGGCUAUAAGCUAGCAGGUGAGCAGGUCAACAGAUGGAUGAUGGGGAAGGGUGCAGGCUCACUCCAAUAAACAGUCCCAAAAAAAACACCAGUUUUUUUUUAUUCAUUUUUCCUAAAACACCAUAAAAGAACACUGAGAAGUCUUUUAAAAUAGGUCAAAAGAUGAUGGAGUGUUUACACUCCUGACAUUUUUUUUUUUUUUUUGCGUAUUUGUCAAGUUACUGUCCAUUAGUGAUAAUAUUGGUAUAUCAUGAAUCUGUGUAUUACUAUCUUUCAAAUGGGACCUUGUUUGGUUUACUAGAUGGAAGCAUGAUGUGUAGAGCAGCACUAACGCUAUUCUCUCUGUAUGCUUAUUGUGGCAAUAUUGCUCGGGGCUUUAAUAUUCUUUUGUUUGGGUGAAAAUGCUUAUUACAGCCUCUAAGCAGAGUUUUCUUCCAUAAUUUCAGAAUGCUAGAUGAUAACGUUGACUUUGAGUAGUGGUUGAUUAUAAAUGUCAGAUUUAGAGACCAGAAAUAAGGAAACAAAUGUGUUUAUGUUGACAAUGUUGAGAACUAUGAACAUAAAUCUCAACACCAGUUAACAUUUUUUCAGCUUAUCUAAACCAGACAUUUAAAAAUGCAUAUUUUAGUUCUAUUUUUAUUUAUUUUUUUAUUUUUUCAAAUCUAAUGUGUACCUUGAAUCUCUCUCUAGUCAAUACUGGACAGGGAUGUCAAUUCAGUAAUCCUUUCUUCUAUCCAAUUAUACAUUAUUAUUAUUGCUUGUGGUUGAGGAGGUCGAAGCUAAAAUACAUAAUCUUACAUAGAAAUAGCAAAAUGUGUAUUUGCUUAUUGUUUGUCUUAGCAAACAGUGAUAGCAUAGUUUGUGUUAGAAUUUGGGAUUGACAUUCAACUUUUCUUUGCAAAGAUAAGCUCUUUCUUGUAGUAAUUUUAGAAUAACUUUACUUUUACUGUCGUAAAAGUCUGGAAACAAAGACUUUUUUUAGCAAGCAAAAGUCUUAAAAAAUUCAAUUCAAAACAAAUGGCUUGCGUUUCUUUGUAGGUCUAUUAAAAGGCUACUUUAGUCAUUUUUUUUUGUGGGCCUUUCAAGUGUUGCUGAAGAGUGCAAAUGGGGAAACCCUGUGAGUCUGCACUACAUGAUAGAUGUGCAUGGAAUGCAUAUUCACCUUUUCUCUUGGAUGACUUUCAAAGAUUGCGCCAACUUGCAAUAGACAUUUUGGCACAAGCUCUUCUGGCAACGAGAGCAGAAAAAGGCUACAAGCAAUAGUGGCACCGUGACUGUUUGAGUCAGCUUUAUGCAGUAUGGCCAUCAUUCAUUGCUCCCCCUCUAUAAAUGCACUAUUUAUUCUUUGGUUCGAAUUACAUAAAAUGAAUUAUAAUAAAUAAGAAAGGAGAAUUGGUGUAGUGGAUAUGCUUACUGUGCACUCAUUCAAACAAGAAUGAGUUUCGUCCUAGAGAUCCCUCAGGGCACAUUAUCAAGAAUGAGGUGUGGAACAAUUUACUUUUCUGUUUUAGUAGGAAAUUUGUUUAUAGUUGUAAAAGCCUUAUUUUGGAAAAAAAAAAAGUCACGAAGAAUUUGAGGUGCAUACUGAGCAGCGUGAACUUCCUGUGACUCCUUGAAGCCACAAUAAAGGAAUAAAAAAGAAACAAUUGAUAUUAAUCUUCCCAGCAGAUCGAUGAGGAAAAAGCACCAAGCUCCUCUUGCAAUAUCUCAGCUCCUUUUACAACUGAGAGGCAGGGGGAGAUGGAGUGAAGAGUGGAGCUGCGGAUGAACCGUCUGGCAAGUUUCCAGAAAUGUUUAUGUUAAUACAAAGUGGCCCAACAGUAAAAAGCUGCCAGUAAGUGUGCUGUUAAUGAAAUGGAAUUUAAAGAAAGUCCUAUUAAUGAUAUGUUGUCCUCUAAAAGUGAUUUCUUUAUAGAAAAAAAAAAUAAGAUGACACCUACAUAUACACCUACAUUUAUCAUGGAACAUUAGGACUAAUUGGUUCAGCUUUGCAUAUGCACGCAUAGAAAAAAGACAGGUAUAAAAUUUAAAAAGUAAUGCCUUGAAGAUUUAAAGCUCAGACCCAACACAUGUUUCUUAUGUAUUUAAGGUCAGGAUCACUACAAAGCUGUGUCAGAUGUUUACUUUUUCCAAACAUCAAAAGGUAAAUCUUGAAGAUUGGAGGCCUGCCUGAUCUCCCAGGGUCUGGCUUCAAUUUUCACACCAAAGAAGACUUUAGCUGAAAAUCGUCCUCUUGGAUAUUCUGUUCGCUGUGAUGACCUGGGGCUUCUGCACACAUAUGUGUACCCGUGUUUAAAGCGUUGCUUUGUUUUUCAGGCAAACAUAUCAAAUGCAAGGUCGUGUUCCCUCAUGGAGGCAAAACACUUACAGCAACCACUGUGGUUGUGAUCCCAUUUGAAACACACCCCGAACCUCUGUUCUUUGGACAAAGCAAGGUAUUGAUCAUCCGAACUCACAGCUGAGAUCUUUGAAAUGUGCUUCUAAUAAUGGAAACUCUCCCUGUUUUGCUUCAGCAGAAUGGCCUCCAGCAACAUUACAUGUAAUACUUCUACAAUAGGGUUCUCUGUUGAGUCUCAAAUGUGAGCUAUCAAGACUCCAGGAAAACUAAACAAAUUGCACUCAAAAUGGAGCAGCCAAAAGUCAAUGAAGGAGAUUGCAAUCAAUAUUUAUGAGUGCAAUCUACUUUAUUUUAUGUAUGUUUCAUCUAUUUUUUUAGCUACUGUAAUGCAAAAAUUCCAUCUCUCUGUCUGUCUGUCAAUAGGUCAGACAAGCACUGACAAACUAAUGAAAACUUAAAAAAACAGGCUGUUGUCAAAAAAAGAAAUAGUUCUAUAAGAUCAAUAUUCUUAAAGAAAAAAACUACUUUCUGAGCUUAUAGGUGUAUUAUACUGUUCAUUCCUCACUGAAAACAACUCCAAAGUGGUAUUUUGAGACUCUGAGAUGCACAAAGUUAAAGAAAAUCUUCCUCAAACCUCAGGUGCUGUUUUCACUUUGCUUUCUUCUACAGCCUGUCUGUCUUGUUGUGCUCAAGGAGGUCGCAGGAGAGACCUAACACGAACAAAGCUGCAAGUCCAGAUGGUGUUAGCCCCAGAGCACAGAAGGAUGUGCAGAUCAGCUACUUUAAUUUAUGUGUGAACCUGAAGGUUCUGGUGCCAUGGAAAGCAUCCUGCACUGAUAAAUGUCAUCUAUCAACUUUAUCUGCUCUAGUAUAAAAUUUUGCAAUCACACACCUGCCUGAAACAAACCCACUAUCAACAGAGGCCUUACAAUCGUGGUGAUUUCACCAGUGUAUUAAACACCUGCCUGCUCAAGAAGAUGCAGAUGGAUGUCUCCAGUAUCACCUGGAUUAAAGAUUACCUGGCAGAUAAACCACAGCUUGAGACUAAAGCGCAUGUACAACAGAUCUGAUUAAACUUUCUCUUUCUGUUUAUCCACUUUAAUCCUGUAUGUCUCAGACUUUCAGAACAAGCCCUUUACAUCCGUAAUAUUCCAAUUAAUUAACAGAUGAAGGAUGUAUCAGAGAGAAAUUAAGUUGAGAACUUGUGGAACACUUAGUGUUGUGAACUCCAAAAAUCACAAAAUAAAAAAAAAUAAAAAA